rnacentral:tRNA from 1 species
AAGAUGUUAGUAAAACUAUUAUACUGCUUUGUCAAGGCAGAGUUGCGAGUUAAAACCUCGCACACCUUA